rnacentral:rRNA from 1 species
GACUCUCGGCAACGGAUAUCUAGGCUCUCGCAUCGAUGAAGAACGUAGCAAAAUGCGAUACUUGGUGUGAAUUGCAGAAUCCCGUGAAUCAUCGAGUCUUUGAACGCAAGUUGCGCCUGAAGCCACUAGGCCGAGGGCACGUCUGCCUGGGCGUCACGC